CAAUUCUAUAAUUUAUAAAUAUCGGAGCUAGGCGUUAACGACGGACAGCGUAUCGGAGCUAGGCGUUAACAACGGAUAGUGUAUUAUUGCUUGUGGACUACAAGAGGAAUUAACAACGUAUCGGAGCUAGGCGUUAACGACGGACAGCGUAUCGGAGCUAGGCGUUAAUAACGGAUAGUGUAUUAUUGCUUGUGGACUACAAGAGUAAUGUCGACACUCAAUGUAUCCUUUCUGAUAUGGUUCGAUGGGCAAAUUGUAAACUCCCCCCGUGGAGUAGAAUAUCACGGUGGUUGUCGAGUGGAGAUGCCACUCAGUGAACGAAUGAAUUUCGAUGAAUUGGUUAACAUUUGUAAAAGGGCAGUUUGUAGCGGACCGAACUCUACUAACUCAGAAGUGGAGAUUACACAAAUUUUAUUCAGACUGCCUAAAUUUGUAAGGGGUGAAGUAGAUUCGUACGCACUCUUUUUAGUGCAGGACAAUAACCAUUUAUUUGGAAUACUAACCGAAUCUAUGAGAUGUCCGAAUCUACGAAUUAUGGAGUUCUACGUUGAGUACCGGAUUUUGGGUGGAACUGAAAUUUCGCUGGAUAAUUUG